GUAGGUGGCAAGCGUUGUCCGGAAUUAUUGGGCGUAAAGCGCGCGCAGGCGGUUCUUUAAGUCUGAUGUGAAAGCCCACGGCUCAACCGUGGAUGGUCAUUGGAAACUGGAGAACUUGAGUACAGAAGAGGAAAGCGGAAUUCCACGUGUAGCGGUGAAAUGCGUAGAGAUGUGGAGGAACACCAGUGGCGAAGGCGGCUUUCUGGUCUGUAACUGACGCUGAGGCGCGAAAGCGUGGGGAGCAAACAGGAUUAGAUACCCUGGUAGUCCACGCCGUAAACGAUGAGUGCUAAGUGUUAGGGGGGUUUUCCGCCCCCCUUAGUGCUGCGGCUAACGCAUUAAGCACUCCGCCUGGGGAUACGGCCGCAAGGCUG
rnacentral:rRNA from 1 species